rnacentral:rRNA from 1 species
GACGAACGCUGGCGGCGUGCUUAACACAUGCAAGUCGAACGGAAAGGCCCUGCUUUUGUGGGGUGCUCGAGUGGCGAACGGGUGAGUAACACGUGAGUAACCUGCCCUUGACUUUGGGAUAACUUCAGGAAACUGGGGCUAAUACCGGAUAGGAGCUCCUGCUGCAUGGUGGGGGUUGGAAAGUUUCGGCGGUUGGGGAUGGACUCGCGGCUUAUCAGCUUGUUGGUGGGGUAGUGGCUUACCAAGGCUUUGACGGGUAGCCGGCCUGAGAGGGUGACCGGACACAUUGGGACUGAGAUACGGCCCAGACUCCAACGGGAGGCAGGAGUGGGGAAUAGUGCACAAUGGGCGGAAGCCUAAUGCAGCAAAGCCGCGUGCGGGAUGACGGCCUUCGGGUUGUAAACCGCUUUCGCCUGUGACGAAGCGUGAGUGACGGUAAUGGGUAAAGAAGCACCGGCUAACUACGUG